rnacentral:rRNA from 1 species
GUCGGGAGUUAGGAAAUGUAGUCUCGCUAAUAUCGGGUCUAUUUGACAAAGGCUCCAAAGGAAGCCACGGCUAACUCUGUGCCAGCAGCCGCGGUAAUACAGAGGUGGCAAGCGUUGUUCGGAAUUAUUGGGCGUAAAGAGCACGUAGGUGGAUUUGUAAGUCAGACGUGAAAGCCUUCUGUUCAACGGAAGAAUUGCAUCUGAAACUACAAACCUUGAGUGUAGGAGGGGAGAGUGGAACUUCUGGU